rnacentral:rRNA from 1 species
AACGAACGCUGGCGGCAUGCCUAACACAUGCAAGUCGAACGAUGCUUUCGGGCAUAGUGGCGCACGGGUGCGUAACGCGUGGGAAUCUGCCCUUGGGUUCGGAAUAAAGGGGGGAAAUGGCGGCAAAUACCGGAGAAGUCCUCGGGACCAAAGAUUUAUCGCCCAGGGAUGAGCCCGCGUAGGAUUAGCUAGUUGGUGGGGUAAUGGCCUACCAAGGCGACGAUCCUUAGCUGGUCUGAGAGGAUGAUCAGCCACACUGGGACUGAGACACGGCCCAGACUCCUACGGGAGGCAGCAGUGGGGAAUAUUGGACAAUGGGCGCAAGCCUGAUCCAGCAAUGCCGCGUGAGUGAUGAAGGCCUUAGGGUUGUAAAGCUCUUUUACCCGGGAUGAUAAUGACAGUACCGGGAGAAUAAGCUCCGGCUAACUCCGUG